rnacentral:misc_RNA from 1 species
GUGAGCAGCAAUGAACUUCUAUCAUGGUUGUUUUAUGCAUUCUCAAACAGUUUUUGAAGUUUUUCCACCUCAUCCUUGUCCAAUUGGAAGGCCUUAGCAAGAACAUCAGGAUUAAUGGGUGGAUUAGGCCCAAAGAUUGCAUCUGCUAUAGUGAUGACACCUGGGUUUUGGCUGCUUAGACCAGCAAAGGCAACUGCAUUCGUCUUUGCAAUAUUAAACUGGAAGUGAAUGAGGCCAAUUGGAAAUACAAAUACAUCUCCUGGGUAUAAGACUUUAGUGAUAAGGCGAUUAGGGUUGGAUGUCACAAAGCCAACAUAAAGAGUGCCUUCCACGACUACAAGGAUCUCUGUGCCACGAGGAUGGGUGUGAGGAGGAUUUAAGCCACCAUUGGGUGCAAAAUCUAACCGAGCGAGAGAAAUACCAAGAGUAUUAAGUCCUGAUAUUCUAUCAACAUUCACGAGGGUAACAUUCGAUCCAACUCGAUUUUCUGUAUUUCCAGGAACAUUGAGUCCCCAAAAAAAGAAAUCUUCAGCUACAGUUAGGUUUGGGUUCUUGCAGAACUUUCCAUUGACAAACACAGCAUUCUUAGGUUCAGGUAUGGCAACACAGAAGUCCUGGAGAGGGCUA